AACUGAUACUACCUGCGGGAACCUGCGGAAGGAUCAUUACCGAGUGAGGGCCCUCUGGGUCCAACCUCCCACCCGUGUUUAUCGUACCUUGUUGCUUCGGCGGGCCCGCCUCACGGCCGCCGGGGGGCACCUGCCCCCGGGCCCGCGCCCGCCGAAGACAUCAUUGAACUCUGUCUGAAGAUUGCAGUCUGAGUAGAUUAGCUAAAUCAGUUAAAACUUUCAACAACGGAUCUCUAGAUC
rnacentral:misc_RNA from 1 species